rnacentral:rRNA from 1 species
AUUAAGCGAGAAAGGGCAUGCGGUGGAUGCCUUGGCACAGGCGAGCGAUGAAGGGCGUGGCAAGCUGCGAUAAGCCUCGGGGAGCCGCAAGCAGGCUUUGAUCCGGGGAUGCCCGAAUGGGGAAACCUGACGGAGGUGAACUCCGUCAUCCCGUAACGGGAAGCGAACCUGGGGAACUGAAACAUCUCAGUACCUAGAGGAAAAGAAAGAAACCUCGAUUCCCUAAGUAGCGGCGAGCGAAAGGGGAAGAGCCCAAACCGUGGGGGUGUGAUAGGCCGAAGCCGUUGCCUCCAUGGGGUUGUAGGGCGGCGCCGUCCGAGCGCUUCGGAUCUUGGCGCUCCGUGUUCUGAUCUAGCCGAAUUGAGCUGGAAAGCUCAGCCGGAGGAGGUGAAAGCCCUGUAGGCGAAAGAUCGGACGCGGGGUGAGGCGCAGUUCCUGAGUAGGCCGGGGCACGUGGAACCCCGGUUGAAGCUGGGAGGACCUUCUCCCAAGGCUAAAUACCAGCCUGUGACCGAUAGCGAACGAGUACCGUGAGGGAAAGGUGAAAAGUACCCCUGACGGGGGGUGAAAUAGAACCUGAAACCGUGUGCCUACAAGCGGUGGGAGGGGCGAAGCCAUGAGCCUUCGGGCUCGUGGGCCCUGACCGCGUGCCUUUNNNNNNNNNNNNNNNNNNAUGAUCCGGGGAGUUGUCCUGCUGGGCGAGGUUAAGGGCCGUCAGGUCUGGAGCCGAAGCGAAAGCGAGUCUGAAACGGGCGUCAGAGUCCAGGGGGGCAGACCCGAAGCCGAGUGAUCUACCCAUGGCCAGGGUGAAGCGGGGGUAACACCUCGU